UACAGAGGUCUCAAGCGUUGUUCGGAUUCAUUGGGCGUAAAGGGUGUGUAGGUGGCGCGCUAAGUCGGGUGUGAAAUUUCGGAGCUUAACUCCGAAACUGCAUUCGAUACUGGCGUGCUUGAGGACUGGAGAGGAGACUGGAAUUCAUGGUGUAGCAGUGAAAUGCGUAGAGAUCAUGAGGAAGACCAGUGGCGAAGGCGGGUCUCUGGACAGUUCCUGACGCUGAGGCGCGAAAGCUAGGGGAGCGAACGGG
rnacentral:rRNA from 1 species